UACGUAGGGGGCUAGCGUUGUCCGGAUUUAUUGGGCGUAAAGAGCGUGUAGGCGGCCAUGUAGGUCCGGUGUGAAAACUCGAGGCUCAACCUCGAGCUGUCGGCGGAAACCAUCUGGCUAGAGUCCGGAAGAGGAGAGUGGAAUUCCUGGUGUAGCGGUGAAAUGCGCAGAUAUCAGGAAGAACACCUAUGGCGAAGGCAGCUCUCUGGGACGGUACUGACGCUGAGACGCGAAAGCGUGGGGAGCGAACAGG
rnacentral:rRNA from 1 species